rnacentral:rRNA from 1 species
GAUGAACGCUGGCGGCGUGCUUAACACAUGCAAGUCGAACGGAAAGGCCAGUGCUUGCACUGGUACUCGAGUGGCGAACGGGUGAGUAACACGUGGGUGAUCUGCCCUGUACUUCGGGAUAAGCUUGGGAAACUGGGUCUAAUACCGGAUAGGACAACUUUUUGGAUAUUGUUGUGGAAAGCUUUUGCGGUAUGGGAUGAGCUCGCGGCCUAUCAGCUUGUUGGUGGGGUAAUGGCCUACCAAGGCGUCGACGGGUAGCCGGCCUGAGAAGGUGUACGGCCACAUUGGGACUGAGAUACGGCCCAGACUCCUACGGGAGGCAGCAGUGGGGAAUAUUGCACAAUGGGCGCAAGCCUGAUGCAGCGACGCCGCGUGGGGGAUGAAGGCCUUCGGGUUGUAAACUCCUUUCGCUAGGGACGAAGCUUUUUUGUGACGGUACCUGGAGAAGAAGCACCGGCUAACUACGUG